UACAGGAUAAUGGGAUGUGAUCCGUUCAC
rnacentral:piRNA from 1 species